GUGCUUGCUUUGGCAGCACAUAUACUAAAAUUGGAACGAUACAGAGAAGAUUAGCAUGGCCCCUGCACAAGGAUGGCACGCAAAUUAGUGAAGUGUUCCAUAUUUUA
rnacentral:snRNA from 1 species